rnacentral:rRNA from 1 species
CUUUACUGUAGCUUGGUAUUGUGCCCGGGCUCUGAAUGCGCAGGAUAGGUGGGAGGCGUUGAGAUAUUCCUUGUGGGGAAUGUGGAGCCAACGGUGAGAUACCACUCUGGUGAGGCUAGAAUUCUAACCCGAUUCCGUGAACCGGCUCGGGAACAGUUUCAGGCGGGCAGUUUGACUGGGGCGGUCGCCUCCUAAAAGGUAACGGAGGCGCGCAAAGGUUCUCUCAGGCUGGUUGGAAAUCAGCCGUAGAGUGUAAAGGCAUAAGAGAGCUUGACUGCGAGACAAACACGUCGAGCAGGGUGGAAACACGGCCUUAGUGAUCCGACGGCGCUGCGUGGAAAGGCCGUCGCUAAACGGAUAAAAGUUA